AGUGAACGCUGGCGGUAGGCCUAACACAUGCAAGUCGAACGGCAGCACAGUAAGAGUUUGCUCUUACGGGUGGCGAGUGGCGGACGGGUGAGGAAUACAUCGGAAUCUACUUUUUCGUGGGGGAUAACGUAGGGAAACUUACGCUAAUACCGCAUACGUCCUACGGGUGAAAGCAGUGGAUCUUCGGACCUUUCGUGACUGAAUGAGCCGGUGUCGGAUUAGCUAGGUUGAGGGGUAAAGGCCCACCUAGGCGACGAUCCGUAGCUGGUCAGAGAGGAUGAUGCGACACAGUAGAACUGACACGCGGUAGAGACCCAUGCGAGAGGCAGGAGUGGGAAAUAUUGGAAUAUGGGCGCAAGUCUGAGCGAGCCAUACCGCGUGUGUGGAGAAGGUCUGCGGGGUGUAACGCCCUUAUGUGGGGAGAAAAAAGGUGCAGGUUAAUACGCCGGUGUUGACGGGAUACCCAAAGAAAAAGCACGCGCAAUCUGCG
rnacentral:rRNA from 1 species